UCUGUGCAUUCGUGAUGUGAUGGGUGAUGGAGGAAAGUGAUUCGUACAUGCAAUUUUGUCGAAUAUUACGAAAGAAAUAUGCUUAGUGAAAAUUCAUUUAAAUAUACAUUUGUUAAAGAUUUCUGGGAAAGUGUGUUCCGGUAGGCUUGUUGAUUUGUGAAAAGCAAAAUGCAAAGUAUUUAUCUGUGAUCUAUUAUAAUCAUGAGUACGAUGAAGAACACAAAUCCAUCGUCUUCGAAAGUGGCAUUGUUAAGCCACAUUAAAUACGAGCACCUGGUAGCUGGUAUAUCGGGUGGCGUUACGUCUACGCUGAUUCUGCACCCUUUGGACCUCAUUAAAAUUAGAUUUGCUGUGAAUGACGGCCGGACCGCCACAGUGCCGAGGUAUGAUGGGCUCAGCAGCGCGUUCGUGACCAUAGUGAAGAAAGAGGGGGUGAAGGGCCUGUACAGAGGGGUCACGCCCAACGUCUGGGGCUCCGGCUCCGCAUGGGGAUUCUAUUUCUUAUUCUACAACGCAAUAAAAACAUGGAUCCAAGGCGGCAACGCGCGCAACCCGCUCGGGCCCGGCAUGCAUAUGCUGGCCGCCGCCGAGGCUGGGGUCCUGUCCCUCGUCAUGACGAACCCCAUCUGGGUGGUGAAGACGAGACUCUGCCUGCAGUACAGCGAAGAACAUGUUGCUGACAAUAAGAGAUACAAGGGGAUGGUGGAUGGACUGUGCAAGAUUUAUAGGACUGAGGGGGUCAGGGGAUUAUAUCGGGGGUUCGUACCUGGCAUGUUCGGCGUGUCUCACGGCGCGCUGCAGUUCAUGACCUACGAGGAGAUGAAGAACCGAUACAACCAGUACCGGAACCUGCCCAUUGACAUUAAACUGACGUCAGUGGAAUACCUGACGUUCGCGGCCGUGUCGAAGCUGAUCGCGGCGGGCGCCACGUACCCGUACCAGGUGGUGCGCGCGCGCCUGCAGGACCAGCACGCCGCCUACCGCGGCGCCUGGCACUGCGUCACCGAGACCUGGAGGUACGAACGCCUCCGCGGCUUCUACAAGGGCCUCACGCCGUACCUGCUACAUGUAACGCCUAACAUAUGCCUAGUUAUGCUCAUUUGGGAAAAGUUCACCAACAACGAUUAGAUGUGCGUCUGAUGGGAACGCGACUGUACUUAAGAUAGGAUCUAAUUGUUUCGUCAAGUCUUUCACAGUGUACCGACGCGGGAUAGAGAUCUGGUGGCCUGCCGGUUAAUCUGCAGGUUAUAAUGAGAAGAACGCUAUGACGCUAUAGAACAUACAUUCGUCCACGCUUCUAACUGACAAUUCGUAUGCCUUACGACUCGGCCGUCGUGGCGGCAACUACAGGUGGGAGCGAAUAGUCCUAUGGCCGAUCGCUGUGUCUCGCUCCAACCUAUGGUUGCCGCCGCCGCCGUCUCCAGUCACGCAAUAUCGCGGCCGAGCCGUUAGAGAGACCCAUCCUAGCGUCUUUUGAGCGUCGGCGUCUUGUCAGCGGUAUGGAAUAUGGCGUCGUUGCGCAGUGGCGCCAACGUUGCGUCGAACAGCAGCCGUAGAGUUGGCUUGACGCCGACGCUUGGAAGACGCUAGUGUGGGGUAGCCCUUAUUAUAUUCCAGAGACUUAGGGUUCUCGGAUGGCCAGUUAAAACAUUGGAGUUAACAUUGAUUAAUAAAGACGGAUAAUAUUUUAAGUAAACACUUGGAUUAAUCAUGAUUUUUAUCAUUUUUGCCGAUUUAUACAAUACCAAUAUCAGUUUCACUGUAUUAUAAUAUCACCCUCAAGAAACUUAACGAUAUUGUGUGCCGAAAUUUGUGAUCUGCUGAGACAGUAAUUUAUGUCAUGCUGUUCAUAUAUACAUAUAUCAUUAUUUGUAUCUCAGUUCUCCCCUAUCACAACUUUGAAAUCUAGUCUAUUUCGAUUUUUUUGUAAAGAAGACAUAAUUCUAAACAUAACUGUUUGUCAAUAGAUGAUGUACAGAUGUGUAGUGGCAUAUAAUUUGAAAUUAAUUCAAUUUAGUUUCUGGUUUUACGAAAUUUAAAAGUUGUGGCAUUUUCCUUUGAUCAAUAGAUCGUACAGUUUGGAGUGCAAAGGUAAGCUUAUAAGCAAAAUUAAAUGAGAUAUUAAUUUCAAGUUUCUACAAAAUUGUACUAAUUAAUUAUCAUAAUAGUUAAUUUUGAGUUCUUCAAGUAUAAUGAAUGACAGAAAGUAAUGAAACUGUUCUGCAAUUAUGAGAUAAAUUGCAAAGGAAACCAUAAUGAUCUAACUGCUGACAUGACUAAUUUUGUAGAAACUUUUUGAAAAAUUAACAAGUAUUACUCUUUAUAUUAUUAUAUAGCAAAUAGAAAGAACAUGAUACUUAGCACUUUGCUUCACUGAUACUGCCGAUUAGUAAUUUUGCUAUGUAAUAAUUUGAAAGAAAAUCGUGCAAGUUUAAGACAGACAUUCAGUGUUGUGAAUAACGCUUAUUUUUAGGCUUAAAGACUAGAGUCCUUAAGUCUCGUAAGUCUUGAAGACUCGACUAUAUUAGAGAAUUGUAUUAAUUUAUUUUACGCGUAUUGAUGUAAGAAAUUGUCUGCCGCCUUUGAGGCGUUAAGCCUCGAGUGUCUUAAGGGUUUAAGUAUUUAAGCCUCGAAAUGAGCGUUAUUCACAACACUGCAGACAUUUUCAAUUACACAAACGGGUCUACCGCGAUAUAAUUUCAUUAAAAACAAUGAAAUUAUAUCGCGGUAGACCCGUUUAUGUAAUUGAAUAUGUGUACAAAACGCGAGAGUUUAAAGUGUUAUACUGCAGACAUUGUAUUAUUAUUGUUUAUAAUCAAUGCAUUUUCUUUGUCAGUUAAAUAUUUUAAUGAUCACUGUAAUUGGUUUGAAUGGAAUAGAGAUGUAUUUAUAGUUUAUGACAUGAUUUGGCAACCGAUUAUUGGGACGCUGGCAUCGACUCAAAUCGCGUUGCGUGGAAAUUUCGAUAUGUUGUGUUAUGUAUAGUUUUUAAACAUAAAGCUCUUGUCCUUGUUUAGAUGUUAUUGUAAAACCUGUCUCACGACAUAUGUUGUGUUUUUAUAAUGUAUUAAAAUAGUCGUAUUUUCCCAUCAGAUGUGACGCAUCCAUAUUUAUCACAAGCUUGGCAAUACUUAAUUGUAUAGCCACACUAGCACAAUUUAGUUUUAAUUUGAGAAUUUGUGAUAAUAGGUAUUUUAGAUUGAAUGUUUAGAACUAUUUCCAAUCUCAAUGUUUGACUUAACCGUAUAAGUAAACUUAAAAGACGCGUUUUUUGUUAGAAUCGAAACGUUACAUGUGUGGUGAGACGACGUUAGGUUCUUUAUAAGAUAGACGUUUCGACUUGCCUCUAGGAAAUAUAAUAACACAUUUUAUAGACUUUUUAAAUUAUAAUCAAUAUUACUAGAAGUAAGCAAGUUUGAAGCUAUUCUAUCUUAGAGGCUUAUUAAUUGUAAUCAACUAAUCACCUACCAAUAAUUUAUUAGCAUCAAGACAUAAAUUAAGAUUACAAUUAACCCGAAUUUUAGUGACCCCUUAAUUAUAUGUUGACAUUAAACAAUCUAGUACAAUUAAAAUCCCUUCUAGAUCUUUGUAGGCCAUAGUCCGGAAAUAGUACAGUCAGCAGCAGAAGUUGCUAAGCGGGCGAGGUGUUCAAAAUUAUCUUGACACGCUCUUAUUAUCUUAACAAUAAAGUCGCGUCAAGAUCAUUUUGAACAGCUGGCCCGCUUAGCAACUUCUGCUGCUGACUGUACACUCCAGGUAUAUUACUACUUAAAUCGAUUCACACGUAUUAUAUUUUAUAGUUGAGAAACAUGUCAGGCACAGUUUAUAUAUUUAAGGACUUUAUUUUGAUAUAAAUACCGCAGAAUCGAACCAAUAUUAUAUGACUAACUCGUCUCAUACAUUACAGUCACUUAUUUAAUAAAUUUUAAUUAAAAAAUAUAAUAAUAUUUGUAAUGCAGAUAAACUAUUAGAUGGAUUUUGAUAGAUUUCAAUAUCUUGAUAAAUAAGUUAUUUUUAUAAGUACAUAGAGUAUGUUAUCCACACUAGUGAACCCUAGUUAGCAAUAGAUUGUCCCAUUCUAUACUUCAAUAUUAUCAGAAUAAUAGCAAAUGAAUAAUAAUUAACGCUAAUAACAGUAUUUUCAGACGCUAAAGAAUAUAAAAAAUAGUUUAUCUAAAGGGUAAUAGUUUAUCCUCUAUCAAUGAGAGUUUCCGCGAUUGAGUUUUUCACUAGAUGGCAGCACGAUGACGAGAGGUCUAGCUGUCAUAAUCCACCAAUCAUGUUUAACCAUGUUUUUUUAUUUGUCGAUUUUGACAGCAGCUGUCAAAAAGACGGUCACGGUGCUGCCAUCUAGUGAAAAUCUCGAUCGAGGAAACCCUCAUUCUUUUGCAAACUUUCAAUUCUCAAUUGUUUGACAAGACAAAUGGACCAUAAAAUAAUCAAACAAGCGAAUAAAUUAUCUUAUUUUAUGUAUUCAGUGCCUAUACAUAUCCGAAAACUCCAUUAAUAUGUGUAAAUCGAUACACCAAAUAAUUAUUAUGUGAUAAUAUAGCAAAAUCUGACGCAUUAUUAUAUGAUUAUUGUACUGAAUGGUUUUGUUAUUAUUAGCGUGUUAAAUAUAGGUGGCUGGCCACGUAAUAUGUAAGACGUAUAUAUUUUUAUAUAAUUCCUGCUAAAGUCCAUUCUUUCAAUACUUUCAAUUUGUGUAAUCAAUAAAAGAUAGCAAAUUGA